rnacentral:rRNA from 14 species
CGAAAGUCGGGACUAGUGAUCCGGCACCGGCAAGUGGAAGCGGUGUCGCUCAACGGAUAAAAGGUACCCCGGGGAUAACAGGCUGAUCUUCCCCAAGAGUCCAUAUCGACGGGAUGGUUUGGCACCUCGAUGUCGGCUCGUCGCAUCCUGGGGCUGGAGUAGGUCCCAAGGGUUGGGCUGUUCGCCCAUUAAAGCGGCACGCGAGCUGGUUUUAGAAC